AAAAAUUAGUUCAAUUCACAGGGUGCUAAUGUACAACCCUUUUGGUGUCUGAUCAUCAUUCCACGGAAUAAUUUUGUAAGACAGGUGUUUGUUUAACCUGUAGGAAACCUGAGACCUCCAGAGUGCUGUCAAGCAGUCUAAUUGUUUCAGAGUCAGAUUUAAAGUGAAGCUCUGACUGCACUGGCACACAAGUUUAACAGAAGGUCGUACACAUGCUGUAUGUGGCCAAUGCUGGGAACUAAGGAAUCGACCUGGCUAAUCGGGGCUCUAGUACCUGAUAGUGGAUGACUGACUAUAAAAAUCAAGAUUCAGCUUACUCCCUGAGGCCUGCUGUACCGCCAGAUCAAAGUGCUUACACUUGGCAACCUGAAAAUCAAAUACCAUUGCUGUCACUCCAAAAAUGUGUGAAACAGAAGCCUGGGACAAUGAUCCUUGUAAGUUAGACAGUAUUCCUUAAAAAAAGAGAUACAGAAAACUUCAAAACAAAGUCCUAAGUAAAACUGAAAAUAAUGUUUUGAAAAAGCUA